AGGAUAAACGCUGGCGGCGUGCCUAACACAUGCAAGUCGAACGUCUCUUUCUUCGGGAAGAGGAGUGGCGGACGGGUGAGGAACACGUGGGAACCUGCCCUACAGUGAGGAAUACCGGCGAGAAAUCGCCGACAAGACCGCAUAGCCCUCUUUGAUGAGAGUCAAAGAAGGAAAGCUUCGCAAGAGGCGCUAGAGGAGGGGCCUGCGUCCGAUUAGCUAGUUGGUGGGGUAAGAGCCUACCAAGGCGUCGAUCGGUAGCUGGUCUGAGAGGACGAUCAGCCACACUGGGAUUGAGAACGGCCCAGACUCCUACGGGGGGCAGCAGUGAGGAAUUUUCGGCAAUGGGGGAAACCCUGACCGAGCAACGCCGCGUGCAGGAGACGGCCUCGGGUUGUAAACUGCUUUCUUUGGGACGAGGAAGGACGGUACCAGAGGAAUCAGCCCCGGCUCACUACGUGCCAGCAGCCGC
rnacentral:rRNA from 1 species